CCUGGCUCAGGAUGAACGCUGGCGGCAGGCUUAAUACAUGCAAGUUGAACGGUAACAUGUUGUAGCAAUACGAUGAUGACGAGUGGCGCACGGGUGCGUAACACGUGUGUAACCUACCUUAUACAGGAACAUAACGUUGAGAAAUCGGCGCUAACAUUCCAUAAUAUUAUUUGUAGGCAUCUAUGAAUAAUUAAAACUCCGGUGGUAUAAGAUGGGCACGCGUUCCAUUAGCUAGUUGGUAAGGUAACGGCUUACCAAGGCACGAUGGAUAGGGGUUCUGAGAGGAUAAUCCCCCACACUGGAACUGAGACACGGUCCAGACUCCUACGGGAGGCAGCAGUAAGGAAUAUUGGGCAAUAGAGGCAACUCUGACCCAGCCAUGCCGCGUGCAGGAAGACGGCCCUAUGGGUUGUAAACUGCUUUUAAUAGGGAUUAAAGUCGACUACGUGUAGUUGUUUGCAAGUACCUAUAGAAUAAGCAUCGGCUAACUCCGUGCCAGCAGCAGC
rnacentral:rRNA from 1 species